GACGAACGCUGGUGGCGUGCUUAACACAUGCAAGUCGAACGGUAAGGCCCUUCGGGGUACACGAGUGGCGAACGGGUGAGUAACACGUGGGUGAUCUGCCCUGCACUUCGGGAUAAGCCUGGGAAACUGGGUCUAAUACCGGAUAGGACUCCUGGCUUCAUGGUUGGGGGUGGAAAGCUUUUGCGGUGUGGGAUGGGCCCGCGGCCUAUCAGCUUGUUGGUGGGGUAAUGGCCUACCAAGGCGACGACGGGUAGCCGGCCUGAGAGGGUGACCGGUCACACUGGGACUGAGAUACGGCACAGACUCCUACGGAGGGCAGCAGUGGGGAAUAUUGCACAAUGGUCGCAAGCCUGAUGCAGCGACGCCGCGUGAGGGAUGACGGCCUUCGGGUUGUAAACCUCUUUCAGCACCGACGAAGCGCAAGUGACGGUAGGUGCAGAAGAAGGACCGGCCAACUACGUGCCAGCCGCCGCCGUAA
rnacentral:rRNA from 1 species